rnacentral:lncRNA from 1 species
UUGAAGAUUUCUGGUGAAGUAGAAAGCACGUGAAGUUUACAGUUCAAUCAUCCAACGGUUGCCGACAAGAGUGAAAGAAUAGUACCAGUUAUUAUUUCCUAUAAAUGUCGACCUUCACCCUCCAUAGCAAGGUAAACAUACUUAACCUUCCGUCAUCUCCGAGAAUGCCUUCCCAACGAAGCCUCUCGAGUCACUCAGUGUUCCUUAUUCCUUGGGGUACCUCUGCAAACAACUCAUGCAAAGCAAAAGUAUUUCAUAUCAUGAAGGUUGAAAGCAAGAGUAUCCCAUAUCAUGCUUUCUCCCUGUCCUUCUCCUUGUCGUUUGAUGCGAAAUAGAUAAGCACACAAAUUAAACCCUCUUUUUGUCAAAUUGUAGUAAAGAUGUAAGUAGGGAUCGUUCUAGACCGGGGAUUAUGAGGGAUUGCUAAACACUUGAAAACUGACUUAAAACAUAAAAAGAAAGUUUAAAACACUAAACUAGACUCAAAGAAUGCAAAACUAAAGUUUAAAACACUUAAACAAACAUAAAACUCAAACCAGCAACCUAAUGACUCAAAACUGCCUAAAACCACUUUCUGGGCAGUUUUGAGAACCUAACAAGAACUUGGACGAAUUUGGGUGAAAACUUGAAUCAAAACACUUAGAAACAGAAAUCAAAACAUAUUCUAACUAAUCUAAGACUUUAAAAUAAAGGGGGAUUUGUUUUGGACGAAAAUUGAAAACAAAACAAAAACUUUAAAACAAAACAGAUUGUAAAACGUUUUUGGAUGAAAAGGAUGGAUCAAAGGCUAGUUAGGAGGUUCUUCUCCACACAUGUUACACUUACAAACAAAACGAUUUUCAGUUGUUCUUCCAAUAAAUUAUGACUACUCAACGCCCCAAAUUAACCGUGAAUUGCACUAAUUAACCCUCAGUUUUUCCACAAGUUAUUAGGUUGGAUGAUUGCAUACGACAACCCAAAACAUUCCCUACAAGUUAUUAGGUUGGAUGAUUGCAUACUUGUGAUUAUAAGAUUGUAACUAUUAGGUGAAACUCCCUUAUAAUCUAGCAUCAUAUUUAUGCAUGAAAACUAAGCGUGCACUCUCAAUCAACAUACACAAAUAAGUUAUCAAUCAAGUAGAUGAACGAAUUGAAUCCACAACUUAUGAAAUAACAACUGAAUGUAAUCAAAUCAUAUUGCAAGCAUGUACAUGGUUUCGAAUUCCCCCCUAAUCAAAGGAAAGACAACACCUAAAACGUUCCAGCAAUCCUCAAUUGAAUGGCAUGACUUCCCAAGCUUUCUCUCCUCCUCUUGGCUGCGGCACAAGGACUAGAGACAGGUUCUAGGGGUUAUUUGGAUGGAUGAGGAGGUAAGGAAUGAUAUGGUAGUGUUUUGGGGACAUAGGGGUUGCGGCAAAGUGUGGAAAUAUGGCAGAUUGGUGAAGGAAGGCUGCGGUAAAGGGGGAUCAAUGUGUUUGGGCGAAUUUCUGACUUAUGGAGGAGGUGAUAUCUGCGGCAAGGCUAAGAACAUAUAUAUAUAGGCACCACAAACCCUAGGGAAAUCAGGUUUAAGCAAUGGGCUAGGGUUUAGGUGCGGCAAAGGGUUGAAAUCUGAAAGGGAUUGGGCUUAUGGUGCGGCAAGAAGUGAGAACCCAAGAGGAAUUGGGCUAGGAAGGUGCGGCAUUGUCCAAGAAGGUAAGGAUGGGUCAUCUAGAAGCCCAAAGCCAAGAAUAGAAACUCUCACAAAUGGAAACCUCCAAGAAUAGAAACUUCCAACUUUAGAAACUUUGGUUUCUAAUUCUGAAUUCUUUGUUUUUCACUUUCAUUUCUUCAUUUCUUAAGCUCCUUUGACCUUCAACUCGUCCAUUCCUUGUGCUCCAUAAGUAAAAACGCCAUUUUAGCUCAAUUAUGCUCCAUUUUGCACUUCCUUGCAUACUUUGUCUCUAAAACCUGAAAACACAUAAAACU